rnacentral:rRNA from 1 species
AGUGAACGCUGGCGGUAGGCCUAACACAUGCAAGUCGAACGGCAGCACAGUAAGAGCUUGCUCUUACGGGUGGCGAGUGGCGGACGGGUGAGGAAUACAUCGGAAUCUACUUUUUCGUGGGGGAUAACGUAGGGAAACUUACGCUAAUACCGCAUACGACCUACGGGUGAAAGCAGGGGAUCUUCGGACCUUGCGCGAUUGAAUGAGCCGAUGUCGGAUUAGCUAGUUGGCGGGGUAAAGGCCCACCAAGGCGACGAUCCGUAGCUGGUCUGAGAGGAUGAUCAGCCACACUGGAACUGAGACACGGUCCAGACUCCUACGGGAGGCAGCAGUGGGGAAUAUUGGACAAUGGGCGCAAGCCUGAUCCAGCCAUACCGCGUGGGUGAAGAAGGCCUUCGGGUUGUAAAGCACUUUUGUUGGGAAAGAAAAGCAGCAGGUUAAUACCCCGCUGUUCUGACGGUACCAAAAGAAUAAGCACCGGCUAACUUCGUG